rnacentral:misc_RNA from 1 species
GAUGAAGAACGCAGCAAAAUGCGAUAAGUAAUGUGAAUUGCAGAAUUCAGUGAAUCAUCGAAUCUUUGAACGCACAUUGCGCCCGCUGGUAUUCCGGCGGGCAUGCCUGUUCGAGCGUCAUUUCAACCCUCAAGCCCCCGGGUUUGGUGUUGGGGAUCGGCUCUGCCCUUCUGGGCGGUGCCGCCCCCGAAAUACAUUGGCGGUCUCGCUGCAGCCUCCAUUGCGUAGUAGCUAACACCUCGCAACUGGAACGCGGCGCGGCCAUGCCGUAAAACCCCAACUUCUGAAUGUUGACCUCUGAUCAGGUAGGAAUACCCGCUGAACUUAAGCAUAUCAAUAAGCGGAGGA